rnacentral:rRNA from 1 species
UGGCGGACGGGUGAGUAACGCGUGGGUAACCUGCCCCAUACAGGGGGAUAACAGCCGGAAACGGCUGCUAAUACCGCAUGUACAUGCGGGGGCGCAUGCCCCUGGAUGGAAAGCAUUAGCGGUAUGGGAUGGGCCCGCGUCUGAUUAGGCAGUUGGCGGGGUAACGGCCCACCAAACCGACGAUCAGUAGCCGGCCUGAGAGGGCGACCGGCCACAUUGGGACUGAGACACGGCCCAAACUCCUACGGAAGGCAGCAG